CGGAGAAAUGGCUGAGUGGAUGAAAGCGAUGGAUUGCUAAUCCAUUAUAUGAAAUUUUUUAUAUCAAGGGUUCGAAUCCCUUUUUCUCCGA
rnacentral:tRNA from 1 species